rnacentral:rRNA from 1 species
CACGUAGGGUGCGAGCGUUGUCCGGAAUCAUUGGGCGUAAAGAGCGUGUAGGCGGCUUGGCAAGUCUGGUGUGAAAUCUUGCGGCUCAACCGCAAGCGGUCACUGGAAACUGCCUCGCUAGAGUCCGGAAGAGGAGAGCGGAAUUCCUGGUGUAGCGGUGGAAUGCGCAGAUAUCAGGAAGAACACCCGUGGCGAAGGCGGCUCUCUGGGACGGUACUGACGCUGAGACGCGAAAGCGUGGGGAGCAAACAGG